GAGAGAGAAUUGUGGUAGAGAUAAGAAAAGCUCCAUAACUCAAAUCUUUCUUCUCCUCCCCUUUUUUAUAGAUUAUAAUUCACUUUCUCAUUUUCCAAGGACCGAUCUGAUGAUUUAUUUUUUAUAAUGAAUAUUUAUUGGGUAUCUACUAUGUGCUUGGCAUGAAGUUACUAUUGGGGCUACAAUAAUGAGUUGGACAUACUGUCUUUCAGGAGGUUACCACUUUUGGGAAGGCAAAAUAAUCACAAGUGGAUUUCAAGAAACAUUCUGUAUAUGUCCUGACCUUGAAAUACUUUGUCAUCCUAAGAAGUUUGCGCUUUAGCUGAGGUCAAAGAAAUGACAAAUAAGAUCAUCCCAGCUGCAAUGUGAAGAAUGGAGUGAAGUAG